rnacentral:rRNA from 1 species
CCUACGGGAUGCUGCAGUGAGGAAUAUUGGUCAAUGGACGAGAGUCUGAACCAGCCAAGUAGCGUGAAGGAUGACUGCCCUAUGGGUUGUAAACUUCUUUUAUAUGGGAAUAAAACGUUCCACGUGUGGGAUUUUGUAUGUACCAUAUGAAUAAGGAUCGGCUAACUCCGUGCCAGCAGCCGCGGUGAUACGGAGGAUCCGAGCGUUAUCCGGAUUUAUUGGGUUUAAAGGGAGCGUAGGUGGAUUGUUAAGUCAGUUGUGAAAGUUUGCGGCCCAACCGUAAAAUUGCAGUUGAAACUGGCAGUCUUGAGUACAGUAGAGGUGGGCGGAAUUCGUGGUGUAGCGGUGAAAUGCUUAGAUAUCACGAAGAACUCCGAUUGCGAAGGCAGUUCACUGGACUGCAACUGACACUGAGGCUCGAAAGUGUGGGUAUCAAACAGGAUUAGAUACCCCUGUAGUC